AUGGAAAGCGAGCAAAAACCCCUCGUUCACCAGUCUAAAUACACGGAACAAAGGAAAGGGUGCUCCAUUUCCUCCUUGAAAAGGAUCCUGGGGGAGAAGCACAGAGACGUCGGAAAAACUAAAAGACGCCGAAAAGAACCCAAAAACCACCUCUUGGAGACCCUAGCACCCUCAAAGCCAGUAACAGACACCCCUACCCCCAAGACUUUUUAGUUACAAGCAAAACUGUUCCUGAAGAAGAAAUUGAAAACAAGGAUAAUGGGGUAAUAAGGCAAGUUCUCUUUCUUAUGGUACUGGGGCUUGAAACUUGGGCCUUUGCACUGAGCUACAUUCCCAGCUUUCUUUAAAAAAAUUUUAAUGUUUUGUUUUUCCGGGACAGGGUCUCACGAUGUAGUUCAGGCUGCCCUCAAACUUGUGAUCUUCCUGCUUCAGCCUCCUGAGUGCUGGGAUUACAGGUGUGUGUCGUCACAUUCUACUACUCUGUUUAUUUAAUAAUGUUUAUUCCCUGAUAUAUGUUACAGAGCACCUUUUGAUAAUUCAUCCUGUCUACCAAUCAUUUAUAAGUUUCUAUUUGAGACUGUUUCAACCAAAAACGUCUCUAGCAUUAAACCUAGACUAGUAAGAUUCCCUUAUAGCAGCUAUUUCUUAGUGUUACUGGCCACUUGGGCCAGUCCAUAAUUUGUUUGUUCACCUCCAACUAGAUCAAAGGUGGCCAUUUAUUCUGGUGAAAUGAAAAAGGGAUUUUUCCAAAGCUAUCUCUGAGGAGAUGAAGGAGCCCUAUUAGCUCCCAGUCACCAUCUUCCCCUGUAGAAGUGCAUUAGUGUCUUUUACAGGGAGGAGCAGCGUGGAGAAUACUUGGAGGUAACAGACCCAGGAGGCUUGGUUUAUUGCUUACAGCAAUCUUCCAUUUACCCUACUUGGUAGAAACUGGGCCCACCCC
rnacentral:lncRNA from 1 species